UGGCCCAUCGGGGCCUUGGAUACCUGCUUUGAUUUUU
rfam:Tursiops truncatus cont1.131312, whole genome shotgun sequence.